GGGGGGCAACUCCCUGAGUAAAGCGGCGCACGGGUGAGUNCCACGUAGGUAACCUACCCCCGAGUCCAGAAUAACCCGCCGAAAGGUGGGCUAAUGCCGGAUAUGACCACGGGAAUCUCGGUUCACGCGGUGAAAGGUGGCCUCUGCUUGCAAGCUAUCGCUCGAGGAUGGGCCUGCGCGCCAUUAGCUAGUUGGUGAGGUAACGGCUCACCAAGGCGAUGAUGGCUAGCUGGUCUGAGAGGAUGGCCAGCCACACUGGGACUGAAACACGGCCCAGACUCCUACGGGAGGCAGCAGUGGGGGAUAUUGCGCAAUGGGCGAAAGCCUGACGCAGCGACGCCGCGUGGGUGAUGAAGGCCUUCGGGUCGUAAAGCCCUGUCGAGGGGAACGAAACGGCUCCGACCCAACACGUCGGGGCCCUGACGGUACCCCUAAAGGAAGCACCGGCUAACUCCGUGCCAGCAGCCGCGGUAAUACGGAGGGUGCGAGCGUUGUUCGGAAUCACUGGGCGUAAAGGGCGUGUAGGCGGUCCGCUAAGUCUGAUGUGAAAGCCCGGGGCUCACCCCCGGAAGGGCAUUGGAAACUGGCGGACUCGAGUCCCGGAGAGGAGGGUGGAAUUCCUGGUGUAGCGGUGAAAUGCGUAGAUAUCAGGAGGAACACCGGUUGGCGAAGGCGGCCCUCUGGACGGUGACUGACGCUGAGACGCGAAAGCGUGGGGAGCAAACAGGAUUAGAUACCCUGGUAGUCCACGCUGUAAACGAUGAGCACUAGGUGUCGUGGGUAUUGACCCCCGCGGUGCCGUAGCUACGCA
rnacentral:rRNA from 1 species